rnacentral:rRNA from 1 species
UACGUAGGGAGCAAGCGUUGUUCGGAUUUACUGGGCGUAAAGGGCGCGUAGGCGGCAGAUCAAGUCAGCUGUGAAAUCUCCGAGCUUAACUCGGAACUGUCAGCUGAUACUGUUUUGCUAGAGUGCGGAAGGGGCAAUCGGAAUUCUUGGUGUAGCGGUGAAAUGCGUAGAUAUCAAGAGGAACCCCUGAGGUGAAGAAGGGUUGCGGGGCGGACACUGGCGCUGAGUGCGCGAAAGCCAGGGGAGCAAACGGG